UAAGAAGGGUUAAAUGUAUAUAUAUCCCAUCAAAGAUUGGAGCGUAAAAUGUACGCAAGGUUAGAGGAUAUAUAUAUCCCAUCAAAAAUAGGUGUAGUAUGUACAUAGACUAUCUGAAGUUAGAGAUUUUAUUUCUGGAGAAAAAAAGAGCAAAAUUUCCCUUCUUCUUCCUCGAAAUUCAUUUUCUAGGCUUCAUUAUUUGUACAAGAAAAAAGCCCUAACAGUGCCAAUUCGCCGUUCUCGGACUCCACUCCAUUUCGCUCCGAUUUCAGAGACAGGUACUAGAGAUUAUUAACCGAUGCUCCGUUGAAGAUCCACAUACACUUCCAGCCAGUUGGGAUUGAUGAGCAUCACACACCUCCCACUCAUGGUUAGAGUUGAGCUCCAUUCUCCUAUUAUUGGUGAGUCCUCACGAUUCGAGGACAGGACAUUUACUCUUUUAUAUAUUCCUAUGAAUUUAUCUUUUGGGUGAGCUAGGAGCUUUAUCUAGACUAGUAAAGGCGUGUUAGAUGUUCAUGGAGUCUGUAUUGUCUUUCCAUUUGAGUUGAGACUUUAUUUCCAC